rnacentral:lncRNA from 1 species
CUAAAUCUUUUCUUUUCUUUCUUCUUUUUCUUUUUAAUUAAUUAACUCACCAUUUAUGUGUAUUAGGGACUCCCUUGCAUGAGUACAAGGUUCCUUUUAGCUUGAUCUAGGCUUAAUACUCUAUUAUAGCAUGAAAUCCCUUAUUUUCCACCCGGAUGAACAGUAAUCCGGACUGACAGUGGGUUACUUCAUCCCGAUUUUGAUCCACUUUCAGGACUCCAAAUUUGAUGAAAUUUUUACCUAACAUUCUAC